rnacentral:rRNA from 1 species
CCUACGGGAGGCAGCAGUGGGGAAUAUUGCACAAUGGGGGAAACCCUGAUGCAGCGACGCCGCGUGAGUGAAGAAGUAAUUCGUUAUGUAAAGCUCUAUCAGCAGGGAAGAAAAUGACGGUACCUGAGUAAGAAGCCCCGUCUAACUACGUGCCAGCAGCCGCGGUAAUACGUAGGGGGCAAGCGUUAUCCGGAUUUACUGGGUGUAAAGGGAGCGUAUACGGCAGUGCAAGUCUGGAGUGAAAGGCGGGGGGUCAACCCCCGGACUGCUCUGGAAACUGUACGGCUGGAGUGCAGGAGAGGUAAGUGGAAUUGCUAGGGUAGCGGUGAAAUGCGUAGAUAUUAGGAGGGACACCAGUGGCGAAGGCGGCUUACUGGACUGUAACUGACGUUGAGGCUCGAAAGCGUGGGGAGCAAACAGGAUUAGAUACCCCUGGUAGUC